rnacentral:lncRNA from 1 species
GGCAGGAUGACCACAUGACAGAGCUGGCAGGUGGAUGCUGCUGUUACAAAGACCCUUUGGUUCUAAAUUACAGAGACUACCUUGAUUGAAUGAGCUUAAGACAAGAAGAUUCCUUUGCAGGGAGCAGCAGUACCUGUGAUCAUGAUGUGACAAGCCUGCGAUGCCACCCAUGCAUUCGUGCCUAGAA